rnacentral:rRNA from 1 species
GAGUAAUCAAGUGUAAGAAGGGCAUUCGGUGGAUGCCUUGGCGACAAGAGGCGAUGAAGGACGUGAUACGCUGCGAUAAGCGUCGGGGAGCUGCGAAUAAGCUUUGAUCCGGCGAUUUCCGAAUGGGGCAACCCACUCCGUAUGGAGUAUCCCGCAAGGGAAGCAAACCCGGGGAACUGAAACAUCUAAGUACCCGGAGGAAAGGACAUCAACCGAGACUCCGCUAGUAGUGGCGAGCGAACGCGGACCAGGCCAGUGGCUAUGAGAUAAGAACCGGAACGCUCUGGAAAGUGCGGCCUUAGUGGGUGAUAGCCCCUUACGGGUAGAAAAUCUUAUAGUCCUUGAGUAGGGCGGGACACGUGAAAUCCUGUCUGAACAUGGGGGGACCACCCUCCAAGCCUAAGUACUCCUUGUCGACCGAUAGUGAACAAGUACCGUGAGGGAAAGGUGAAAAGCACCCCGACGAGGGGAGUGAAACAGAUCCUGAAACCGGAUGCCUACAAACAGUUGGAGCCCGAAAGGGUGACAGCGUACCUUUUGUAUAAUGGGUCAGCGACUUAAUUUAGCGAGCAAGCUUAAGCCGAUAGGUGUAGGCGUAGGGAAACCGAGUCUUAAUAGGGCGUCUUAGUUCGUUGGAUUAGACCCGAAACCGAGUGAUCUAGCCAUGAGCAGGUUGAAGGUGCGGUAACACGCACUGGAGGACCGAACCCACGCCUGUUGAAAAAGGCGGGGAUGACUUGUGGCUAGGGGUGAAAGGCCAAUCAAACUCGGAAAUAGCUGGUUCUCCGCGAAAUCUAUUUAGGUAGAGCGUCAGAUGAAUACUCUCGGGGGUAGAGCACUGGAUGGGCUAUGGGGGCUUACCGCCUUACUGAUCCUAACCAAACUCCGAAUACCGAGAAGUACUAUCUGGCAGACACACAGUGGGUGCUAACGUCCAUUGUGGAGAGGGAAACAACCCUGACCGCCAGUUAAGGUCCCUAAGUUAUGGCUAAGUGGGAAAGGAUGUAGAACUCCCAAAACAACCAGGAUGUUGGCUUAGAAGCAGCCAUCAUUUAAAGAAAGCGUAACAGCUCACUGGUCUAAAUAAGGGGUUCCGCGCCGAAAAUGUACCGGGGCUCAAGCCAUACACCGAAACUGCGGGUUUAGCGUAAGCUAAGCGGUAGCGGAGCGUUCUGUAAGUCUGCGAAGGGUGACCCGCGAGGGCACCUGGAGAUAUCAGAAGUGCGAAUGCUGACAUGAGUAACGAUAAAGGGUGUGAGAGACACCCUCGCCGAAAGUCCAAGGGUUCCUGCUCAACGCUAAUCGGAGCAGGGUUAGUCGGCCCCUAAGGCGAGGCCGAAAGGCGUAGUCGAUGGGAAACAGGUUAAUAUUCCUGUACUUGUGGGUAGUGACGGAUGCCGUGUGUCGUAUCUCCUUAUUGGAUUGGGGAUGCGGCGAAGGUGUUCCAGGAAAUAGCUCCCACGUAUAAACCGUACCCGAAACCGACACAGGUGGACUGGUAGAGCAUACCAAGGCGCUUGAGAGAACUGUGCUGAAGGAACUCGGCAAAUUGCUCCCGUAAGUUCGCGAGAAGGGAGACCCAUGCUUGGGCAACCAGGUGUGGGUGGCACAGACCAGGGGGUGGCGACUGUUUAUCAAAAACACAGGGCUCUGCGAAGUCGCAAGACGACGUAUAGGGUCUGACGCCUGCCCGGUGCCGGAAGGUUAAGAGGAGGUGUGCAAGCACCGAAUUGAAGCCCCGGUAAACGGCGGCCGUAACUAUAACGGUCCUAAGGUAGCGAAAUUCCUUGUCGGGUAAGUUCCGACCUGCACGAAUGGCGUAACGACUUCCCCGCUGUCUCCAGCACAGACUCAGUGAAAUUGAAUUCCCCGUGAAGAUGCGGGGUUCCUGCGGUCAGACGGAAAGACCCCGUGCACCUUUACUACAGCUUCACACUGGUAUUCGUCACGACAUGUGUAGGAUAGGUGGUAGACGUUGAAGCAGGAGCGCCAGCUCUUGUGGAGUCACCCUUGAAAUACCACCCUUGUCGUUAUGGAUAUCUAACCGCGGUACUACAAUAUCCGGGACCGUGUGUGGCGGGUAGUUUGACUGGGGCGGUCGCCUCCCAAAUGGUAACGGAGGCGCGCGAAGGUGGGCUCAGAGCGGUCGGAAAUCGCUCGUUGAGUGCAAUGGCAUAAGCCUGCCUGACUGCGAGACUGACAAGUCGAGCAGAGACGAAAGUCGGCCAUAGUGAUCCGGUGGUCCCUCGUGGAAGGGCCAUCGCUCAACGGAUAAAAGGUACGCCGGGGAUAACAGGCUGAUGAUGCCCAAGAGUCCAUAUCGACGGCAUUGUUUGGCACCUCGAUGUCGACUCAUCACAUCCUGGGGCUGGAGCAGGUCCCAAGGGUUUGGCUGUUCGCCAAUUAAAGUGGUACGUGAGUUGGGUUCAGAACGUCGCGAGACAGUUCGGUCCCUAUCUGCCGUGGGUGUAGGAGAAUUGAGAGGAUCUGUCCCUAGUACGAGAGGACCGGGAUGGACGUACCUCUGGUGGACCUGUUGUGGCGCCAGCCGCAUAGCAGGGUAGCUAUGUACGGAAGGGAUAACCGCUGAAAGCAUCUAAGCGGGAAACCCACCUCAAAACGAGUUCUCCCUGAAGAGCCGUGGAAGACCACCACGUUGAUAGGAAGCAUGUGGAAGCACAGCAAUGUGUGAAGCUGAGCUUUACUAAUAGCUCGUUCGGCUUGAUUACUCUCAUU